rnacentral:rRNA from 1 species
GAUGAACGCUGGCGGCGUGCCUAAUACAUGCAAGUCGAGCGAACAUACGAGGAGCUUGCUCCUCUGACGUUAGCGGCGGACGGGUGAGUAACACGUGGAUAACCUACCUAUAAGACUGGGAUAACUUCGGGAAACCGGAGCUAAUACCGGAUAAUAUAUUGAACCGCAUGGUUCAAUAGUGAAAGACGGUUUUGCUGUCACUUAUAGAUGGAUCCGCGCCGCAUUAGCUAGUUGGUAAGGUAACGGCUUACCAAGGCAACGAUGCGUAGCCGACCUGAGAGAGUGAUCAGCCACACAGGAACUGAGACAAGGUCCAGAAUCCUACGGGAGGCAGCGAUAGGGAAUCUUCCGCAAUGGGCGAAAGCCUGACGGAGCAACGCCGCGUGAGUGAUGAAGGUCUUCGGAUCGUAAAACACUGUUAUUAGGGAAGAAAAAAUGUGAAAGUAACUAUGCACGUCUUGAAGAAACAUAAUCAGAAAGCCACGGCAAACUACGUG